GUCCACGCCGUAAACGAUGAAUGCUAGCCGUUGGGCAGCUUGCUGUUCAGUGGCGCAGCUAACGCAUUAAGCAUUCCGCCUGGGGAGUACGGCCGCAAGGUUGAAACUCAAAGGAAUUGACGGGGCCCGCACAAGCGGUGGAGCAUGUGGUUUAAUUCGACGCAACGCGCAGAACCUUACCAGGGUUUGACAUCCUGCGACCGCUCCGUAAUGGGAGUUUUCCCGCAAGGGACGCAGAGACAGGUGCUGCAUGGCUGUCGU
rnacentral:rRNA from 1 species